rnacentral:rRNA from 1 species
AUUGAACGCUGGCGGCAUGCUCUACACAUGCAAGUCGAACGGUAACAGGCCGCAAGGUGCUGACGAGUGGCGAACGGGUGAGUAAUGCAUCGGAACGUGCCCAGUCGUGGGGGAUAACUACUCGAAAGAGUAGCUAAUACCUCAUACGAUCUAUGGAUGAAAGCGGGGGACCGUAAGGCCUCGCGCGAUUGGAGCGGCCGAUGUCAGAUUAGGUAGUUGGUGGGGUAAAGGCUCACCAAGCCAACGAUCUGUAGCUGGUCUGAGAGGACGACCAGCCACACUGGGACUGAGACACGGCCCAGACUCCUACGGGAGGCAGCAGUGGGGAAUUUUGGACAAUGGGCGCAAGCCUGAUCCAGCAAUGCCGCGUGCAGGAAGAAGGCCUUCGGGUUGUAAACUGCUUUUGUACGGAACGAAACGGCUCUGGUUAAUACCCGGGGCUAAUGACGGUACCGUAAGAAUAAGCACCGGCUAACUACGUG